rnacentral:rRNA from 1 species
UACAUAGGUGGCAAGCGUUGUUCGGAAUUACUGGGCGUAAAGGGCGCGUAGGCGGUUCGUUAAGUCCUGUGUGAAAUCCCCCGGCUCAACUGGGGAACUGCACAGGAAACUAGCGGGCUUGAGUUCGGGAGAGGGGUGCGGAAUUCCGGGUGUAGUGGUGAAAUGCGUAGAGAUCCGGAGGAACACCAGAGGCGAAGGCGGCACCCUGGCCUAAUACUGACACUGAGACGCGAAAGCAUGGGGAGCGAACGGG